UACGGAGGAUGCGAGCGUUAUCUGGAUUUAUUGGGUUUAAAGGGUGCGUAGGCGGAUCGUUAAGUCAGUGGUCAAAUUGAGGGGCUCAACCCCUUCCCGCCAUCGAAACUGGCGAUCUUGAGUGGAAGAGAAGUAUGCGGAAUGCGUGGUGUAGCGGUGAAAUGCAUAGAUAUCACGCAGAACCCCGAUUGCGAAGGCAGCAUGCCGGCUUCCUACUGACGCUGAAGCACGAAAGCGUGGGGAUCGAACAGG
rnacentral:rRNA from 1 species